AAAAACAAUUGUCAGGGAAGGUACCAAGAUCAUGAAGAAGAUUGCAUUUCAGAUGGUAUCCAUUGCAUUUUGGGUGUAUUGACCCAUGCAAAUUCCCAAAAUUGGGGAAACUUGGUUGUGUAAUUUGUGAAUGAAGAAAUUGUAUAUACACACCCCCACU